rnacentral:rRNA from 1 species
UACGGAGGGGGCUAGCGUUGUUCGGAAUUACUGGGCGUAAAGCGCAUGUAGGCGGCUCGGCAAGUCGGAUGUGAAAGCCCUUGGCUCAACUGAGGAAGUGCAUCCGAAACUGGCAGGCUAGAGUACUAAAGAGGAUCGCGGAAUUCCCGGUGUAGAGGUGAAAUUCGUAGAUAUCGGGAGGAACACCGGUGGCGAAGGCGGCGAUCUGGGUAGAUACUGACGCUGAGGUGCGAAAGCGUGGGGAGCAAACAGG